UACGAAGGGGGCGAGCGUUGUUCGGAAUUACUGGGCGGAAAGGGUGCGUAGGCGGCGCGGUAAGUCGGGUGUGAAAUCUUGGAGCUUAACUCCGAAACUGCAUUCGAUACUGCCGUGCUUGAGGACUGGAGAGGAGACUGGAAUUUACGGUGUAGCGGUGAAAUGCGUAGAUAUCGUAAGGAAGACCAGUGGCGAAGGCGGGUCUCUGGACAGUUCCUGACGCUGAGGCACGAAGGCCAGGGGAGCAAACGGG
rnacentral:rRNA from 1 species